ensembl:lncRNA
GGGUUUGUCAGUUGGCAUUGGCUCAGAACUAGAGAUAUAGUCCUCAGUCAGCAAGUGAUGUUUUACAGCGCAGUCGACUACGAUCUUAACCGGCAGAUUUUCUGAGUGCUUCGUGACCCAGGAGAGGAGGAAAGGGGUGUAAAGGGAUAGUUCACCCAAAUUACAUUUUGGCGUCCUUACCCUUUAAAUCCAAAGGCCUCAUUUGGAAGCGACACAAUGGCACAUACAGCACUGUAAAGAUAAGACCGACAAGCUACAGCACUGUAGAGGUAAAGACGACAGGCUACAGCACUGUAGAGGUAAAGACGACAGACAGGCUACAGCGCUGUGGAGGUAAAGACGACAGACAGGCUACAGCGCUGUGGAGGUAAAGACGACAGACAGGCUACAGCGCUGUGGAGGUAAAGACGACAGACAGGCUACAGCGCUGUGGAGGUCAAGACGACAGGCAGGCUACAACGCUGUGGAGGUAAAGAUGACCUAGAUGUGUGACUGGAGAGCAUUCUUAAAUCUCCCAAUCAAUGCUGCUUG